AGUGAACGUUGGCGGCGUGGAUUAGGCAUGCAAGUCGAGCGAGAACCGUAGCAAUACGGGGACAGCGGCGAAAGGGACAGUAAUGUGUAGGUACCUACCCCGAGGUCUGGGAUAGCUGCAGGAAACUGCAGGUAAUACCGGAUAAUGUCUUCGGACCAAAGGUGUGAUUCCACCUUGGGAGGGGCCUGCAUCCUAUUAGCUAGUUGGCGGAGUAAUGGCCCACCAAGGCAACGAUGGGUAGCGGGUGUGAGAGCACGACCCGCGUCAUUGGGACUGAGAUACUGCCCAGACACCUACGGGUGGCUGCAGUCGAGGAUCUUCGGCAAUGGGCGAAAGCCUGACCGAGCGACGCCGCGUGCGGGAUGAAGGCCUUCGGGUUGUAAACCGCUGUCGUAGAGGAGGAAAUGCAGGGGGGUUCUCCCUUCUGUUUGACCUAUUCUAGGAGGAAGGACGGGCUAAGUUCGUGCCAGCCGCCGCCGUAA
rnacentral:rRNA from 1 species